GCCUCGGUUGCGCAGAGGUAAACACGCGCUCCAGGAAAGGGUGAGACGCGCGUUCGACUCUCGUCCGAGGUC